GGUAAAAAAAUUAUUUAUGAAAUUAAUUGUAAAACACUUUAGUGGGGUAAAAAUAAUUUGGCUUUAAAAGGUGGUCAAAAACUAUUUAAAAACUAAGUAAAUGAUUAAAAAUAAAAAAAAAGAGUUCUAAUGCAUGAUUUCAAAUAAGAUUUAAUCAAGGUAACAUACUUGUGUUGGAUUAAUCAUAUUCCUUUAACUUAGAAUUAUUAAACUCAUGUUUACGCUGUUACGAAUGAAAUUCACAGCAACCCGGUAAUUUGCUAACUUAUUAACAAAUUUAUAUACAAAAAUCCAUUCAUCUCUUGACAUAUCCCUAUGUCAAUUCAAC
rnacentral:lncRNA from 1 species